GGGCGGUUAGCUCAGUUGGUAGAGCGCCUCGUUUACACCGAGGAGGUCGGCGGUUCGAGCCCGUCACCGCCUACCA
rnacentral:tRNA from 1 species